UACGAAGGGGGCUAGCGUUGUUCGGAAUUACUGGGCGUAAAGCGCAUGCAGGCGGAUCGCUAAGUCAGGGGUGAAAGCCCGAGGCUCAACCUCGGAACUGCCUUUGAUACUGGCGAUCUUGAGUCCGGGAGAGGUGAGUGGAACUCCGAGUGUAGAGGUGAAAUUCGUAGAUAUUCGGAAGAACACCGAUGGCGAAGGCAGCCAUCUGGACCGACACUGACGCUGAGGCGCGAAAGCGUGGGGAGCAAACAGG
rnacentral:rRNA from 1 species